UACGAAGGGGGCUAGCGUUGCUCGGAAUUACUGGGCGUAAAGCGCACGUAGGCGGCUCUUUAAGUCGGAGGUGAAAUCCUGGAGCUCAACUCCAGAACUGCCUUCGAUACUGAAGAGCUCGAGUCCGGGAGAGGUGAGUGGAACUGCGAGUGUAGAGGUGAAAUUCGUAGAUAUUCGCAAGAACACCAGUGGCGAAGGCGGCUCACUGGCCCGGUACUGACGCUGGGGUGCGAAAGCGUGGGGAGCAAACAGG
rnacentral:rRNA from 1 species